CGUACCGCAAAAAAAAAAAAAAAAAAAGUAAGUUACAAGAGGAGACCUUUAAAAAGUAAGGCUGCAGUUAUCAGCUGCCAGCAGACAUUAUUUUGAGAACGGCUGGUGGCAUCCAAGUCUGACACAGCUCAGAAAACUCAGGUUCUUAGCAAUACAAGGAUUUGCCUGAAGUCACACCCACAGUGUCAUCUAGUUAUUUCUUGGAUGUCUUAAACCAUAGCUACUCCAUUUUGACUCUUAAUUGUAAUAUUCCCCUUAAUAGCCAAAGCAGAUGUCACCAUUAAUGAUGUUAGUGUUUCUCUAGGUAGGAGAAGAGCAAGAAUCUGGCCCAUAGAAUCUUCUCCUGAAAAUAUAUCUCUCUCUGAAGGCCUGUUCUGCCAGUUUUUCCCAGAGCACAGAGUGCCUCAUUCCUGUCUCCACCCUGAGCUCCUUUCAGGGGGUGCUGAAGGUCAGCAGCUGCAGCGGCUCGUGAUUUAAUCCUUCUAGAGGCAGACGGCAAGUGCCAAUGGCGAGUGCCAAUUUCCAGUCAGCAGGGCCCCUUCAUGGUCAUAAAGGUGACCAUGGUUUGGGGGGCAUUUCAUUCCACAGUGCUAGGAAUGCUCAUUCCCAGGCCUAGCAAAGUGUUUUCCGAGUUUAAAUCUUAUCCUGUAGAACGGUAUAGCCAAAAAUUUAAAAAAAUAUAUAGCAGAAAACAUAACCACCCCACUGGUCCUGUAACGUAAAACCUUUAGUUCUCAGUUCAUAUGUAACAGUAAUAUCUAGGUUCACAGUCAGGACAUUGGUAGAUAGUGGUGCCUACCUUGAGAUUGACAUAGCCUUACUAAAAAUCUAAGUUUUACACUUUGACCAAAUUCAGGACAUUCACAUUAAUUUGAAAAGCCAAAAAUACAUACUACACAGCAGGCUGCACCUGAUAAUGAAACACUUUAUUCUGCAUCAAGGUAUCUGGAAAAUGAAGCUGCAUUUGGGGCACGUUACAGAUGAGGAAUGAUCCAUAUGUGUUUCUCCUAGCAGAGUCUCUGAAAUCACCUGCUUAAAGGGGGAUUAAAAGUGUUAAGCACCAAGCAGCCUGAAAUAUUUAUAUGACAUGGGGACACGCAUGGGAGGAGGAUCACUCAGGAAGAAGGAAGAAGCAGAAGAGCUCACUUAUCACACUAGAGCCCACUUGCCUGGCAAGCAUAGAAGUGACCAGUUAUUUUGACCACCACUUGGUCAUUCUCAUCAGGCGUCUGGUCACGAGGGACAACAACUUCUGCGCUUGACAAAUUCUGGAGCUCAUUCACCUGAAGGAGAUAAAUACAAAUCAUGUUAAGUGGAGUUGUUCUUUUUUUUUUUUUUUUUUUAAUUACCAUUUCCUUACUGUGUAACCAAAAUACUGAGCUUUGGCUUUAUAUUUAUAAUCUCAUCUAAUAAUACUAAUAAUUCUAUCCGUUUACUAGUAUUGUCCCCAUUUCAAGGUAAUUAAAACUAAGCCUUAGUGAAAGAAACUGACUCGCCCACAGUUGCAUAAGUUAAUGACACAACCAGAUUCAACCCCUGAAAAUCUGAUUCCAAAAUACACACUUUGAAUCACUUCAGAAUUGUAAAUAGCUUUGAAAAUGACUUGGAAGUUUUAUGUGUUAGAAACUGGAAACCAUUUGCUUUUUUCAGUUACAGAGGUAUAAGUUAUAAAUGUAGAUGAAAUUUUUUAAAGUUUCUUUUCAUGUCAUUAAGUGUUUGCACAAUAAAAGUAAAAAGCUGAUGUAUAACAACAGAAAAUGCAAAAUGCCCCUUAUAAAUAUGAGACAGUUCUCCCAUACAAAGUGGUCUGAAAGAGAGGCACUGCUUUCACUGGUAGCUGACACCAACACCCAGGAGGAACAAAAGGCAGUCUUCUCCAAACCUUGGCCCAGACGGUCCUGCUUUUUAUAAGUUAGCCAAAAUUUAGGGACUUGGAACUCCUAAGUACCUUUCAACGCUUUCCCUUUCAUACCACUGCACAGGUUUUGCUGAAGUACUUGCCGUUUUGCCUCCUUUUCCAAUAACUCUGCCAGCAGCAAAGGAUGGCACUCUGAUGUGAGCUUCAAGUUUCACCUCUUCUUUAGGACUAACAAAGUUUUCUUCUUUAAUUUUUCCAUAAAUUCUUCCCUGAGCCUACAGAUGAGAACAUAUCUCAUCAGUGUCAUUCAUGUAGGAAAUGCAAAAAGGUCCAUUAACUUUAAAGAUGGCCCGGAUCCACUGGAACAGACCUUUGCAGUGAUACAUCUGCAUUUGAUAGAUUGUGGAACGUUGCACAAGAGGUGGAAAAGUAAGGAAGUCCUAGAAAAGGUUGACAACAAUAAUAACUAUACAUCACAGAUGAGGCAACUGAAUGAUUGAUAAAAUAAGAUUAAACCAUAUUCUUCUGACAAAAACGGUUAAAGGCAAUAAGUUAGCAGUCAGCCGAACUAAAAUUUUUGCAAAUGACCAUUUGCUCUCCAGUCUUGAAAGGUAAAACCUCUCCUGUUGGCAAUAAGAUAGUAACUGCAUUUUUCUUGAGUAAAAGGGACUGCAGAGGAACUACAGAGCCACCUAUGCGAGGCUCACAAGAAGCCAAGCCGCUGUCUAAAUGGGCCAGCGAGGAAUUUUCUAGUUAAACAUUUCUUCAUCUUAGCCAGAUGGUUUCUACUUCGACUAAGGCUACAAAAUCAAGUUAACAUACACAUCUGACAGUUAUAGUCAAACACAUCCUGUCACUUGCUGCAUACAACUAGAAGUUAUACAUAAUAAACCUCUCCUAUUAUGUACAACCAUUAAUUUGCUCUGGUAUACACCAAAGGAAAAAGGAGUCAGAGUUGGUUUCAUCUGACAAGCUGCCACAGCAGAGAACAAAAACAAAAGUACCGAACACGUUUUCACUGGUGCAGAAAUGAUAAGCUCAUUUUAGGGGGUUACAGAAAAAAAAAAAAAAAUCCAUCUUAGUACCCUGUCUUCCAUUCAUCCUCAGUCUCAGGCCACAGAUGUAGCUAUCAACACAAAGGACACAACGGAUAUACAUUGUCCUCCGAAACAAGCUCUUGAAUUCAUAAGAAAAAAUAUGGGUUAGGAGGUUUACUAUUACUUAGAUGUCUAAAAUAAAAUAAUUUGUUAUUAUGACUGAUCACAUAAAUGACAUUUAAGCAUUACAGCUUUUCUUAAAUGUCCCAUUUAAGACAACUGAACAAUACAGGCAUAGGAGGAUACAGGGAAACAAACUCUGAAUUCCCCAGCAUACAAGCAUUAUGAAAACUGCACGAUAGUUAAUUCCAUUUGUAGAAUAAUAAGACCAUAAUUGAUGUUUGUAUUUAUCUUUUAGUAUUUCAAACUAAAAGUGACUGUCUCUGUAAGUCUGGGAUAGGAAGCAAUUUUCAGCAUCUCUGAGUUUUGAUCUGAACUGCCUGGACCACAAGGCUGGUAUGAGGAAGUAAAUUUCUUGACCCAAGUUUGAGGCUAGCCAACUGUACCCCACAUCUCAAAGCGCCUCCUUUUGUUUCCUGUUCUUCCUGUAAAUGAAGUGAAAAAAGCUUCCGAUUUUUAGUGAAAAAUAGAGGUCAAAGAAAGUGAUGGCUUAAAAGGAGGGAAGAAGUGGGCACUUGUUAACUUAGCCACAUUUUAGAGCUAAGAGAAGUAGGUUAAAGAGUUAUCCUGUUAACACAGCUGCUAAGUGGUAGGAACAAGACAGGAGUUUUGGAUAAAUUGCACUGAAUUGAGUAGCUGCUUUUACCUAUGACAAACAAGACACCCUACUGAGUUUAUGAGAGAAAUCACAUACUCAAAGGUAUACGUUUGUGAAUUUGAGGAUCUGGCAGGGUCUUAAGUCUGAUUCAUCCCAAGUCUGCUCAGCACCACCACCAGCACAUUUAUGUUGUACUUCCUGUGUCAGGCACUAUUCUAAGCAAUUCAUAUAUUGUUUAAACCUUAUUUAAACUUUGUGGGUGUUUUUAACCCCGAUUUUAUAGAUGAGGAACUAGGCAGAGAAAGGCUAAGUAACUUGCCCAAGGUCACACCACUGGUAAAUGGUAAAGCUGGGCUUUGAACCAGCAACCUGGCUACCAGGUCUCUGCUCUUCAUCACCCUGCUACACCACCUCUCAGGACAUGGUGGGAGGCAUUCCAGCCCCAAAGGCCCCAAACCCCAGUAUGACCAAUGGUUCACACCAGGACAAAUGCUGUAAGAGUUCCUGCCAUUUCCACCUCUAAAAUUCAAAAGAUUAGAGUGGCUUGUUGACCGACUGUGGACAAGGGCUAACGGUUAACCCAAGGGUAAGAGCAAACAGGGACAUUUUAAUUCAAGGUUGAGGCCUCUCUGGGACAAGAGGAAAAACUUGAGAACAGCAAGGCAUAUGAAUCAGACUUGUAAAUUUCAGUCUUAAGGUCUCACCUUCACACAUGCUAACAGGGCAUUGAGCAAAUUCUCCUUUGGGAGAUAGUCAAAACCAACAACCAUUACAGAACUCUCAAAAUUAACCAAAGGCUUUGGUUUAUUUUUAAAGUGUAAUUUGCGGUAUGUUUCUACUCUGUUCUUAGUCUUAGAAAUUUCCAUUGAGAGAUUCUUUCUACUGAGUAUUAGAUUUUUUUUACAGGAGAAGCCAGGUUAUGGAUUUCCCAAGAAGACAUCCAUUCAUUUGUUACCUGUGCACACACUCCAGAGCACAUACCUUGAACUGAGCCUCUGGUGGCCCAGUGAUAAUCACCAUCCUCACUUUAGCAUCUGGUGCUUCAGCUGGAGCGAUCUGUAACAGACCCAGUAACGGGUUAUGACACUUCCAGGUGCCACCAAUAGAAAUGUUACACCAACCAGCCUGUCAUUUGCACAUGACUUACUGAAAUGUAGAAUGAAAGCCUUCUGGAAGGUAGUUACAUGAAGCAGUGAUUAAUGUGGAUUCAUUAGUUAUGGCUCCUGCCAUAUACUGUGUACUUACACUGUGCCUGGCCCUAAUGUAAAAGUCCAGAUGCAGCCUCUACGUAACCCUCACUAUUUCCUGACGAGGUACUGCCUCAUGGAGAGGCCAAAGGCUGGAGAAGGUGAGUCACCUGGCCCAUGAUCACACAGUCCAGUGAAGCUGGAGGGAGAGCUGGGUCUGGCUCCACCAUCACAUUCCUUGUCACUACACCAGUGGGUGCUCAAAGGGUGGUUCUUAGCCCACGCGCAUCACAACACCCUGGGCCUCCUGUGUGUGCAAGAAACUGCUAGGUUCCCAGUCUAAGGCUAUCGGUACAUUCCCCCAAAGUACACUCGCUGGACUAACAUAUGGAAUAAACUAACAUUAAUUUGGCAGAAGAAAAGUGAACUCAGCCUCUUCUAUUUUGGCAGAGCGUGUGAAAUCACACAAAAAGCCUAGGCUAGGGAAUUGUUGCAGAGACUGUUGAAGGGGGAGGAAACCAGCAUUCCCUUAGUAAGAAAGCAUUUGGGGAGUUGGAUGGUAGAAAGUGUUUUAAAAGAAAAAAUUUUGCUAGAUAUUUGCUGUGCAAGAAGCAAUUCCCUAUAGUAAAUAAUGAGAACAGGAAGCAAAAAAUACAAUAAAAGCCAUCCCAACUACCA